GGAGUUGAAACCCAUGUAUUUCAGCUGGGUUUGAGUGAUAAAAUGACGGGCUGGCCUGUGUGUUUGGUCUUGGAUUUUCGGCUGGGCUUAGGUAACAUUUGGCCCAAAGAAAUAAAAAUAAUGGCCCAGUGGCCUUUUUCUUGCCCAAAUCAGAAACCGAAAGUUAUACUUUAGCCCCUGAUCUCUGGAGUAGUUUCAUUACGGCCCAGAACAUUUUAAAUCUCUUUCACUUAGGUCCUUAAAUUAAUUGCACUUU
rnacentral:lncRNA from 1 species